GCGGGAAUAGCUCAGUGGUAGAGCAUCGCCUUGCCAAGGCGAAUGUCGCGGGUUCAAAUCCCGUUUCCCGCUCCA
rnacentral:tRNA from 1 species